AGCGUUGUUCGGGAUCAUUGGGCGUAAAGGGUGAGUAGGCGGAUAUGCAAGUCUAUGUGUAAAAUACCACAGCUCAACUGUGGAACUAUGCUGGAAACUGCAUGACUAGAGUCUGAUAGGGGAAGUUAGAAUUCUUGGUGUAAGGGUGGAAUCUGUUGAUAUCAGGAAGAAUACCAGAGGCGAAGGCGAACUUCUAGGUCAAGACUGACGCUGAGUCACGAAAGCGUAGGGAGCAAACAGGAUUAGAUACCCUGGUAGUCUACGCUGUAAACGAUGCACACUUGGUGUUAAUCGAAAGGUUAGUACCGAAGCUAACGUGUUAAGUGUGCCGCCUGGGGAGUAUGUUCGCAAGAAUGAAACUCAAAGGAAUUGACGGGGGCCCGCACAAGCGGUGGAGCAUGUGGUUUAAUUCGAUGAUACGCGAGGAACCUUACCAGGGCUUGACAUAUACAGGAUAUAGUUAGAG
rnacentral:rRNA from 1 species